AGUUUGAUCCUGGCUCAGAUUGAACGCUAGCGGCAUGCUUUACACAUGCAAGUCGAACGGUAACAGGUCUUCGGAUGCUGACGAGUGGCGAACGGGUGAGUAACACAUCGGAACGUGCCUAGUAGUGGGGGAUAACUACUCGAAAGAGUAGCUAAUACCGCAUGAGAUCUAAGGAUGAAAGCAGGGGACCUUCGGGCCUUGCGCUACUAGAGCGGCUGAUGGCAGAUUAGGUAGUUGGUGGGAUAAAAGCUUACCAAGCCGACGAUCUGUAGCUGGUCUGAGAGGACGACCAGCCACACUGGGACUGAGACACGGCCCAGACUCCUACGGGAGGCAGCAGUGGGGAAUUUUGGACAAUGGGCGAAAGCCUGAUCCAGCAAUGCCGCGUGUAGGAUGAAGGCCCUCGGGUUGUAAACUACUUUUGUACGGAACGAAAAGCUCUCUUCUAAUAAAGGAGAGUGAUGACGGUACCGUAAGAAUAAGCACCGGCUAACUACGUG
rnacentral:rRNA from 1 species